rnacentral:rRNA from 1 species
UUAGUUGGUCGGCGGGGUAACGGCCCACCGAGGUGCCGAUGCGUAGGGCUUCUGAGAGGAAGGCCCCCCACACUGGUAAUGAGACACGGACCAGACUCCUACGGGAGGCAGCAGUGAGGAAUAUUGGUCAAUGGGCGGGAGCCUGAACCAGCCAAGCCGCGUGAGGGAAGAAGGUACAGCGUAUCGUAAACCUCUUUUGUCAGGGAACAAAGGCGGGGACUAGUCCCCGGAUGAGGGUACCUGAAGAAAAAGCAUCGGCUAACUCCGUGCCAGCAGCCGCGGUAAUACGGAGGAUGCGAGCGUUAUCCGGAUUUAUUGGGUUUAAAGGGUGCGCAGGCGGCCUGUUAAGUCAGCGGUAAAAGCCCGGGGCUCAACCCCGGCGAGCCGUUGAAACUGGCGGGCUGGAGUUGGAGAGAAGUACGCGGAAUGCGCGGUGUAGCGGUGAAAUGCUUAGAUAUCGCGCAGAACCCCGAUUGCGAAGGCAGCGUACCGGCUCCACACUGACGCUGAGGCACGAAAGCGUGGGUAUCGAACAGGAUUAGAUACCCUGGUAGUCCACGCAGUAAACGAUGAAUGCUUGCUGUCCGGGCAGAGAUAUGCCUGUGGGGCGAAGCGAAAGCGAUAAGCAUUCCACCUGGGGAGUACGCCGGCAACGGUGAAACUCAAAGGAAUUGACGGGGGCCCGCACAAGCGGAGGAACAUGUGGUUUAAUUCGAUGAUACGCGAGGAACCUUACCCGGGCUCAAACGGGAGACGGCAGGGACAGAGACGCCCCUUUCCCUCGGGACGUCUUCCGAGGUGCUGCAUGGUUGUCGUCAGCUCGUGCCGUGAGGUGUCGGCUUAAGUGCCAUAACGAGCGCAACCCCCGCGUGCAGUUGCCAGCAGGAAAGGCCGGGGACUCUGCACGGACUGCCGGCGCAAGCCGCGAGGAAGGCGGGGAUGACGUCAAAUCAGCACGGCCCUUACGUCCGGGGCGACACACGUGUUACAAUGGGGGGUACAGCGGGAAGACAGGCGGAGAAGCCGACCGGAACCCGAAAGCCCCUCUCAGUUCGGAUAGGAGUCUGCAACCCGACUCCGUGAAGCUGGAUUCGAUAGUAGUCGCGCAUCAGCCAUGGCGCGGUGAAUACGUUUCCGGACCUAGCACACACCGCCCUUCAAG